GAGCCACUUGACGCCAUCGUCGCCAUGGACGGGCUGUGGUGAGCUCGACGCCGGCAGCUGUUCAUCGCCCUUCCUCUUCUUCGUCAGCGCCAUAAGCACGCGAAGGCCAUGGGAGAUCCAUUCCCGCAGCAACCGGACGCCGAGGCCGACGCACGACGCCCCGACGACGAGCAUCUUCUCCACCUCCGGCGAUCUCUUCUGCGGAGUACCUCGACGUCGCGCGUUCCUUUCCUGCGCCGACUCUACUCUCCGCCCCAAGGUGAGCAGACGAAGCCUCGUCCCCUCUCCUCUGUCCGAAGCAUCGCGUAGCUGCGUGACCAGCUUUUCGCCUUGCCGCGCGGCUCUGUAGAGCAGAGCAGUGGAGGUAGCUAGUAGCGGCAAGUAGCAGUAGAAGCCGCAGUAUGUACCUAGCAGUAGCAGCGCCACAACAUCCGCAACAUGCAGUGGCAGUAGCAGCGAGCGAGCAGUGCAUUCGCGUGCGUGUAGAGCAGCUCGUAUGUCGUGUGCGUCACCGGAGUCGCUCAUCUGUGCGUGUCUCUGUUGCGAUGGAGCUAGCCCCCUAUCUUGCGUUCAACUAGAGUAGAUCCCCCAUUUGGAACAAAUGCCCCACGCUAGCCCAGUGGCAAUAGAGCGUACGUUGCACCGCAGCGUCCUGUGUUCGAUCCCCAGCGUGCCCUUUUUUCUUUUCUGGGGUUUUUCCCAUCUGCGCUCUUCGUGUAAUUAACUUAGGGAAGUUUCCUCCCGUAGUAGAGUAGUGUCCCGAUCCCUAGCAAGCUGGUUCGACCGAGCCAGGGCGACCGUGAGGUCCUGGGUUCGAGUCCCCAUGUCGCCCUUUUUUUAUUGUUUUAUAUUUCCUGUUGUGAAUAGCGAGUUAGGCAUUGUAUGUCUGCAUAUCUUUCCAUACUAGUUCAGCUGCAUGUGGCUAGCCCACUGGUGGUGACCGUGCACUCCACCAGGGAGAUGGUGGGUUCGAUUCCCACCUCUCUCCUAUUUUCCUUUUAUGUGGUGUGACUUGUGUGUGCCACUGACAGGUGGUCCCAGGGCCCUGGUGUCUAUGACCAGUAGGCCCCCUGUCAGUUUACAUUUUAGUGGUGAUAUAUUUGUGACUUGUGUGAAAUCUCCUUGUUUGGAAUAAUUCCAGAAAUGGAAUGGCCUGAUCUGGUAUAUCCCAAAUUGGGCAGGCUCAGGAGCAGUUCCUGUUCUUGACUAUGCUGUAGUUUGAUCCUGUGUUAUUUUUCUUUUGCUGUUUGUGGUGUUUUUCUGCAAGUAACAUGGGCAGUAUGAUACAUGGAUUUGGGGUAGCAGAACCCAAGGAAUCCAAUGGUUGCACUGGAUUCCAGUUUUGAACAGUUCUGUAGAAGUGUCACUUUGUGAUGAGGUGGCACUUGUUUGCCUUUGUAGGUUGGUGCAAGUGCAUACUGCGAUUGAGACUCCAUGCAUUAUUUUAGUUAGUGCUUUCUGUUGUGCACGUCGUGUGGUGAAUCUGUGUGUUGAUUUGUGUUUUCGGUUUGCUUCGUCUCGUUAGAGUUCCACAAGCGUGUCGGAAUGUGAGGACCCGUUCGACUACGUUGGUUCGUCUGCUUCACGGAGUAAUUCUUCUUCCAAGCGGGAUCUCAGGCAAGAUGAUCAUUUCCCCAGAUACCAUUACUAUCAUUGCCAUGCUAGUUUUACCGUUUCUAUCGUUAUGUCUCGUUGCCUACCACAUGUUAAAUAUCAGCCUUCUCAACAAUGCCAUGAUAACCUUCAACCUGUUCGACCUAGCAAACCACUGAUUGGCUAUGUUACCGCUUGCUUAACCAUGUUGUUAGCGUUGCUAGUUGCAGGUGCAGUUGCUUCCAUGUGAUAACAUGGGUUCUUGUUAUAUCACCAUAUUAAAUGCUAUUUAAUUUAAUGCACCUAUAUACUUGGUAAAAGGUGGAAGGCUCGGCCUUUCUAGCCUGGUGUUUUGUUCCACCUUUGCCCCCUUAGUUUCGGCUACCGGUGUUAUGUUCCAUAAAAGAGCGCUCCUAACACGAUCGGGGUUGUUAUGGGGACCCCCUUGAUAAUUCGUUUUAGAUUAAAGCUGGUCCGGCAAGGCCCAACAUUGGUUCUACAUUUGCCCAACAUAAUAUUUUUGUUAAUAUUUAAAUGCAUAGGGCAUCAUGAACCCGAGGAGUAAUUUUACAUAAACAGGGGGGCCGGUGCUGAUGGUGUUGGUCCCAAACGGUCUGCCUGCGGGGCCACCACGGGGAAACUCGAGGUUUGGCACCCGUAGCUAGUUCCAUCCGUCGUGUCCUGAGAACGAGAUACGCGGCUCCUAUCGGGAUCGUCGACACGUCGGGCGGCCUUGCUGGAUUAGUUUUACCUUUGAUGAGAUAUCUUGUGCAUCGGGAUUCCGGUGAUGCUUUGGGUAAUCUUAGAGUUGAGGUUUUCCACUAGGGAAUCCGACGAGAUCGCGAGCUUCGUGAUUGAGGAUUUCUAUGCGGCUUGUGGUAAUUUGUGAUGGACUAGUUGGAGCACCCCUGCAGGGUUAAAUCUUUCGGAAAGCCGUGCCCGCGGUUAUGUGGCAACGUGGAAGCUUUGUUUAACACUGGUUCUAGAUAACUUGAAGUUAACUUAAUUAAAACUUGCCAACUGUGUGCGUAACCGUGACUGUCUCUUUCGUGAGUUCCUUCUCCGAUCGAGGACACGGUGGGGUUAUGUCUGACGUAGAUAGGUGUUCAGGAUCAUUCAUUUGAUCAUCAGUAGUUCACGUCCGUUAUGCGUAGAUCUUCCCCCUCUUAUUUCCUGUACUCGUAAGUUAGCCACCAAAUAUAUGCUUAGCCGCUGCUGCAACCUCACCACUUCACCAUACCUCACCCAUUAAGCUUUGCUAGUCUUGAUACCUUUGGAAAUGAGAUUGCUGAGUCCCGUGUGGCUCACAGAUUACUACAACACCAGUUGCAGGUACAUGUAAAGGUUACUCGACGUGAGCG
rnacentral:lncRNA from 1 species